rnacentral:rRNA from 1 species
UACGUAGGCAGCAAGCGUUGUUCGGAGUUACUGGGCGUAAAGAGUAUGUAGGCGGUUGCGUAAGUUCGGUGUGAAAUCUCCCGGCUUAACUGGGAGGGUGCGCCGAAAACUGCGUGGCUUGAGUGCGGGAGAGGAGAGCGGAAUUCCUGGUGUAGCGGUGAAAUGCGCAGAUAUCAGGAGGAACACCGGUGGCGAAGGCGGUUCUCUGGGCAUGUCCUGACGCUGAGGAGCGAAAGUGUGGGGAGCGAACAGG